GCCACAUACCUGACCCAGAGGCUGUGCGGGAGGGAAGGCAUCACCCUUGCUGGAGGCUGGCGACAGCUGGUACUGUUCCCUGGUGCAAGCUCCUGAGGGAAGCAGGGCCACAGCUUUUUGGAGACACCCAUCUUGCCAUGUGCAAACAGGACCAGCUCAGAGUUGUGCCUGCAAUUCUCUCACUCCAGCCUCACCCUCCUGUGGAUCCCAUUUGCUGACUCUGCACAGGUCCUGGGCUGGAGGGAAGACGGCUACCUAUGAACAAGGAAGCAGGCUCUCACCAGACACUGAACCUGCCAGUGCCUUGACCUUGGACUUCCCAGCCUCCAGAACUGUGAGAAAUAAAUCUCUGUUGUUUAUAAGCCCCCCAGUCUGAGGUGUUUUGUUACAGCAGCCUGAAUAGGCAAGACAUGAGAAAUCAUUUCAAGACCCGAGAUGCCCUUGACCAGAAGCUUUUGUGA